UCCUUCUUAAGGCAGUGUGCUUGGUUGAAGAGGAUGGCCUUCCUGAUAGAGAAGGACAAGUGUUUAAGUAGUCACACUCCCCUGCUAGAACCUCUAAGUAAGUUCUCAGUGUAGGAAGUU
ensembl:misc_RNA Gm25838 predicted gene, 25838